GUUUGCAUUCGGGCUUUGAGGCCUUUAUUAGCAUAAAUCUACAAUAAUACCCUUUUCAUUCAUUCAUAGAAUGUGGGCUCACUGGCUAGGCCACCCUGGGUAAGGUGGCGGUAAGCUUGAUACACCAUAGUCCAGGUAGUGUAAGUACAUCUACAUUGCUAUUUGAGAUGGUGUUCCAGGAAUGUGACCCAGUUACAGUGAAAUAACAGUGAUAUACUUCAAAGUCAGAUUGGAUUUAGGCAGUACUGGCUAGGCCAGCAUUUAUUCCCAUCCCCCAUUGUCCAGAGGGCAUUUCAGAGUCAACUGUAUCGCAGUGGAUCUGGAGUCACAUGGAGGUCAGAUGAAAAAGCUAACAUCUAAACUCAAUCCAUAAUCCUGCUGUCAACACUACAACAUCCUGCUUACUAUUCAAUUCUGGACUUUGCAAAAAAUAGCAACAUGGAAUUGUGGCAUCAGUUGAUGAUUUAAUGCACUUCUCAUUUUCUAAUAGCCCUAGGAAGGAAACAGCAGACACAAUGAAAACCAUUUUAAGUCUAAUUAGUUUUUGCUUCAUUCAUUUAGACAUCAAAUGUAAGUGAAUGAAAUAGCACAAUCACAUUGUCAGCUGCUGUUCCUAGUCAAUCUGAAUACUGUGAUCCUAUAACUGAGGCUAUUAGUAAAGAGAAGUGCCAUACAACUCCUUUUCUGCACCAUCUCUAUGGCACUUACCAUCAGUAUUAUUCAGCUUGAGACUCCUGGGACUAUGGAGGUGUUGUGGAGCUGGACCAAAAACAGAACUGGAAACAAACAAUCAGGCUAACUCAGUUCCCACUUCUGACUGAACUCAAAAACUGGCCUCCUGUUAACAGGCUGGUGGAGCUAUUGAAGUAACAACCUCUAUGUCUCAGUGACAGAGGUGCCAGGAAGAAAUUCCACCAAGUUCAAUUCCAGAGCCCCUCCAUGACAAUGUCCAAUGAGCCUAGCAGUAAGCAUGCGGGGCACCUGAGAUCAUCUCUACUUUGGAACAUCCUUGCCAUCACCUUUUUGUCACAGUAAAACCCACCUCUCAGGUCAUCAUGUGCUGCAUGGAUACUGAUUGGAUCUACUGACCCUGGAACCUAGCUACUGUCCUGAAUUGGAUGGAACCUUCCGCGGAAGCUUCAUAUUUAGACUCCUCCACAACAAACACAUCCUCUGGUUCUUCCAUGAUUACCUCCAUGGUUACUUCCAGGUUCAAGACAUGGGCUUUGGGCUUCAUCCUGACAUGAGGGUUGCUACCCAAUCAGAAAAGUUCAGCUGCAUAUGUUCUAUCUUAACAAAU